CGUAGUAAAAUGUGCGCAGGCGUCAGGGUAUCAUUCCAUUACCUGAGCCCUGCCUUUCUCGUGGCGUUAACUGACUGAUAGUGGGCAGCCAAUCCCAGUGGUGCACGUCUGCAACCGUUUUUUCACAGCCUAUAAAAGGGAAGGGUUUUCUGCUCCCUGGGUCUUCUCUCCUGAAGCUGAUCAUCUAUCUCUCGAGAUGUAUUAAAGCUGUACUGCAGAAGGAUCCGAGUGGCCUGCGUGCGUUUUGCUGGCGAGACGGUAGCGUGGGUCAUCUGGUUGCCAGAAUCCCGGGAAUUAACAUCAUUGGCGUUUGGGAGAAUCCCCGGAGACGGGGUGGAUUCAGAACUGCAGGGAAAAGAAUUGGACCAUAGAAUUUGAACAGACACUCCGGGAGCUGAAGAUCGCUGUCUUACAAGUCAAUUCGACACGUCUUGACCUGUCAUUGAUGGAAGGAUAUUCUACCUGGAUUUCUGCAGCAUUCUCCUACUUCAAGAAAUGGGUGGGGGUGGAUUUGUUUGGAGUGGCUGUGUGCGGUGGAGUACUGCUCCUACUAUGGAUGAUCUGCAAACUUAAAGCCCAAACAAGGAGGGACAGGAUGGUAGUAACCCAGGCACUUGUUGCUUUGGAGCAUGGUGCCUCCCCCGAUAUAUGAUUAUGGAUACUUAAGCAAUAGGUCGCUGGCCGCUCAGCUCUUGCACCCCACGAGGCUAGUCUCAUUGCACGGGAUAGAGUGAGUGUGCUUUAGCAACCUGUGAGAGUUGUACGGCUAAGCACUGCAGUAGAAAGUCUCUGCGGCAUAAGAUGAGCCUAUUCUAGGGAGACAUGUCAUCUUGUAUGAAGGUUGAGUGUCCAAGUGUCCUUCCUCCAGGAAAAACGACACAGGAGCGGACCAAAACCCCUCCGGGUGACGAGCCUGGGAGGAGGUUUUGUGUAAGGCCCCUAUGCUUGCACACUGGGGAUUUGACCUCUAUCUCCACUCUCAGUACUGGGUGGCCUGUUGCUUCUAAAAUAAAAGAAAAGGGGGAGAUGUGAGGAGCUGCCUUCACAGUCGCCAUUACAAGAUGGCGCUGACAUCUGUUGCUCAUAGUAAAAUGUGCGCAGGCGUCAGGGUAUCGUUUCAUUACCUGAGCCCUGCCUUUCUUGUGGCGUUAACUGACUGAUAGUGGGCAGCCAAUCCCAGAGGUGCAUGUCUCCAACCGUUUUUUCGCAGCCUAUAAAAGGGAAGGGUUUUCUGCUCUCUGGGUCUCCUCUACUGAAGCUGAUCAUCUAUCUCUCGAGAUGUAUUAAAGCUGUACUGCAGAAGGAUCCGAGUGGCCUGCGUGCAUUUUGCUGGCGAGACGGUAGCGUGGGUCAACCCUCCAUGUCACAAGUGAACAUUCUGAUAGAGUACACACCUGUGUUUA
rnacentral:lncRNA from 1 species